rnacentral:misc_RNA from 1 species
AACAAGGCGUACCUGCGGACCUGCGGAGGGAUCAUUAAUAAAUGUUACUUCGGUAACUUAAUUAAUCCCUAACACCUGUGCAUCUUGUCGCUUCGGCGUCAUUUUAUAAACAUCAGUGUAAUGAAUGUAACGUAUUAUAACAAAUACAACUUUUAACAACGGAUCU